UACGAAGGGGGCUAGCGUUGCUCGGAAUUACUGGGCGUAAAGCGCACGUAGGCGGCUUUCUAAGUCGGGGGUGAAAUCCUGGAGCUCAACGUCCAGCAACUGCCCUUCGAUACUGGGAAGCUCGAGUCCGGGAGAGGUGAGUGGAACUGCGAGUGUAGAGGUGAAAUUCGUAGAUAUUCGCAAGAACACCAGUGGCGAAGGCGGCUCACUGGCCCGGUACUGACGCUGAGGUGCGAAAGCGUGGGGAGCAAACAGG
rnacentral:rRNA from 1 species